GCUCGCUGCCCCCAUCCGGUUCUCCAGGCAUGGGAUAAGGAGCAGGGACCGCAGCCCAGCCUCGGCUUCUCAGAGAGGUUCCCGAUGACCACAAGUUAUGUGUGGGCUCCACUGGUUAGGAGUGAGGCACAGGAGCAGCCGUAGUGUGAGAGCUGCUGCCAAGUCUUGGUCAUGGAAGAAGUCAGCCCGCACAUCACAUCCCACAGCACGCUUCUAGCCCCAGCCUGUCAGCCAUCCUCCUGUGCAGUCCAUCAGCGCUGUGUGUCCCCCCCCCAGACACAAAGUUUGGGCCCGAGAAUGUGUUUUACAGCAAUCUGUGACAGGAGCACCUUCCGCACCUGCCCGCUUAAUUAUGAAGUGAAACACGUGAGCUGUUUCCAGGACACACACACGGUGACUACCAGUCGGUGUGAUCGGAUGUACACCAGCCAUAUAUGACGAGAGUGUGAUGUGGAGGAUUUUUCACUGCUAAUGGCAGUGGCUUUUAUUUCAAGCCCAUUUUUUUACAUUAAUUUUUUUAUUACAAAAACUGUAACAGUAAGGCAGUUUCUCAAUUGUCAGUCACUGUGAGCCAAACAGUUUUCAAUCACCUUUAAUACAAAACUAGAUUCACACAGGAGCCACGCUCUUGAUC